UACGAAGGAGGCUAGCGUUGCUCGGAAUCACUGGGCGUAAAGCGCACGUAGGCGGAUUGCUAAGUCAGGGGUGAAAUCCUGGAGCUCAACUCCAGAACUGCCUUUGAUACUGGCGAUCUCGAGUCCGGGAGAGGUGAGUGGAACUGCGAGUGUAGAGGUGAAAUUCGUAGAUAUUCGCAAGAACACCAGUGGCGAAGGCGGCUCACUGGCCCGAUACUGACGCUGAGGUGCGAAAGCGUGGGGAGCAAACAGG
rnacentral:rRNA from 1 species